GUUUAGCCCCACCCAACCAAGACUUCAGAGAUUGGCCCCACCCCACAGACCACAGUCACCAGUAGAGAGAGGAAGGCCAAGAGGAAGAGCUUCCCAAGAAGAAGCCCUCAGGGGAGCUAUUCACCUCCCUGAGGCAGGAAGGAGGCUGGGAGAUGGGGAGAAAGGGAAGCAACCUGCUCACACAAGAAGAGGUGCGGUGAUCCUCUCACGCGGGACCACCGUGCGCCGCCGCCACCGCUUCUCCCCAGCCUCACUUAUGUUCCUACCCAAACGGCAGACAUGUCUGAAGAGAGCAAUGUUCCCAGAGGCUGCGGCUGUCCUCUGGUCAAGCAUCCCUUGAGUGAAAUGAGUGAUACAGACAGUAAAAGCGAUGCCACUUCUCAGAAUGAAAUCAAGCUGAUAUCUGGCAAAUCCUCUUCAAAACCUCCAAAACCUCCAAAACCUCAGCUACUAGGAGGAGGAAACUGCCUUCCCAACAGCAGCUAUGUCAAAACAAGGAAGGUGAUGUGAGACCACAGGGAAGUCCCCAUGACUUUCCACGUACCGGUCUCUCCAUAUGGAGCAGUUUCACCAAGAAGCAAAUAUAGCAAACUGAAAGAAAGCGAACCGAAGGCGAAAGGUGGGCAGACAGGAGCAACAGGGUCCCAGGGGGAAUGGACAAAGAUCCAAGAUACUCAAGUGAAUCCAAACUCCCAAACUCAGCCUUGAAGACGUUUUCUUAGCGAGCUGACCAGAGGUUUUUUUGAAGUGCCUUAAAAUAAAUAGAGGUGAUUUCCUACACAGGGUUUUCUUUGUUUGUUUUUUGUUUUUUAACUUCUGUCACUGAAGUGUGUGUUUCAAUUUCCUGAACUUUUUAUAUGAAUGUAUAUAACACAUACAUUUAAAAACAGCCACUUUAGAGGGCAAACUGAAAUUGAGAGGGCUUGAUUUUUCCUCUUAAUCGCCAAUCAAGUAGUGUGUCCUCAAUCUUUUAAGGAAAAAACCGAUUCGCCACAGACCUCCCAACAUACCCUCCGAGACGCUUUUGUGUUCCCAGAAACACCGUAUCUAAAAAUCCUGACUUUGUCCCUUCUGGGCUGCCUUUUUGUCUCUUUAG
ensembl:lncRNA